rnacentral:rRNA from 1 species
AAUCAACGCUGGCGGCGUGCCUCAGACAUGCAAGUCGAACGAUUAAAGCUCUCUUCGGAGAGUGUAUAGAGUGGCGCACGGGUGAGUAACACGUAAGUAAUCUACCCUCGAGUGGGGAAUAACAACCGGAAACGGUUGCUAAUACCGCAUAAUGCAGCGGCACCGCAAGGUGACAGUUGUUAAAGAUUUAUCGCUUGAGGAGGAGCUUGCGGCAGAUUAGCUAGUUGGUAGGGUAACGGCUUACCAAGGCUACGAUCUGUAACCGGUCUAAGAGGACGGUCGGUCACACUGACACUGAAUAACGGGUCAGACUCCUACGGGAGGCAGCAGUCGGGAAUUUUGGGCAAUGGGCGAAAGCCUGACCCAGCAACGCCGCGUGAAGGAUGAAGUAUUUCGGUAUGUAAACUUCGAGAGAAUAGGAAGAAUUAAUGACGGUACUAUUUAUAAGGUCCGGCUAACUACGUG